rnacentral:rRNA from 1 species
UGGGGAAUAUUGGACAAUGGGCGCAAGCCUGAUCCAGCCACGCCGCGUGAAGGAUGAAGGUUUUCGGAUCGUAAACUUCUGUUGUCGGGGAAGAAAGGGCGCUGAAGAGGCGCAGAUGACGGUACCCGAUAAGAAAGCACCGGCUAACUCCGUGCCAGCAGCCGCGGUAAUACGGAGGGUGCAAACGUUGCUCGGAAUCACUGGGCGUAAAGCGCUCGUAGGCGGUUUGUCAAGUUAGAUGUGAAAGCCCCGGGCUUAACCUGGGAAGUGCAUUUAAGACUGGCAGGCUGGAGUAUGGGAGGGGGUAGCGGAAUUCCCGGUGUAGAGGUGAAAUUCGUAGAUAUCGGGAGGAACACCUGAGGCGAAGGCGGCUACCUGGACCAUUACUGACGCUGAGGAGCGAAAGCGUGGGGAGCAAACAGG